CCCAUCGACGAUUCGUUCUCCGUCCAUAUCACUUUUUAUUUUUAGUUGAUUUUAUUACCUCAGUCGACAAGAAUAUAUUUAAUUAUGUGACGUUUUCCUCUCUCUGUGCUUAUUGUUGUUUGUUCUUUCAUGCUCUAGACUCGCCUAAAAUAGAUUUUGAGCCUGCCGCUUGUUUUGGAUCGCGAAACUAGUCGCCCUGGCGAGACGAGACAACCUGGGGGGAGGCCUGCACCCUGCAACACGGCAGCCUGCUCUUCCAGGCCUGUCAUUCGAGAUAAAUCUUGCAAGGGCGGGGAUCCCAGCUGCAAGUGGGCAACUUACAACCUGCC
rnacentral:sRNA from 2 species